rnacentral:rRNA from 1 species
AUACGUAGGUGACAAGCGUUAUCCGGAUUUACUGGGCGUAAAGGGCGUGUAGGCGGCCUGUUAAGUCUGGAGUGAAAGUCCUGUUUUCAAGAUGGGAAUUGCUUUGGAUACUGAUGGGCUUGAGUGCAGGAGAGGUUAUCGGAAUUCCCGGUGUAGCGGUGAAAUGCGUAGAGAUCGGGAGGAACACCAGUGGCGAAGGCGGGUAACUGGACUGCAACUGACGCUGAGGCGCGAAAGUGUGGGGAGCAAACAGGAUUAGAUACCCUGGUAGUCCACACUGUAAACGAUGAAUGCUAGGUGUAGGAGGUAUCGACCCCUUCUGUGCCGCAGUAAACACAGUAAGCAUUCCGCCUGGGGAGUACGGUCGCAAGAUUAAAACUCAAAGGAAUUGACGGGG